rnacentral:misc_RNA from 1 species
UACAGAGGGUGCAAACGUUGCUCGGAAUCACUGGGCGUAAAGCGCGUGUAGGCGGCCUGGUAAGUCAGCUGUGAAAGCCCUCGGCUCAACCGAGGAAGUGCAGCUGAAACUGCCAGGCUAGAGUUCCGGAGAGGGUGGCGGAAUGCGUAGUGUAGAGGUGAAAUUCGUAGAUAUUACGUGGAACACCAGUGGCGAAGGCGGCCACCUGGAAGGAAACUGACGCUGAGACGCGAAAGCGUGGGGAGCAAACAGG